CUACGGGAGGCAGCAGUGGGGAAUAUUGGACAAUGGGCGAAAGCCUGAUCCAGCCAUGCCGCGUGUGUGAAGAAGGUCUUCGGAUUGUAAAGCACUUUAAGUUGGGAGGAAGGGUUGUAA
rnacentral:rRNA from 1 species